AUACGGAGGAUCCGAGCGUUAUCCGGAUUUAUUGGGUUUAAAGGGUGCGCAGGCGGCCAUUUAAGUCAGCGGUUAAAUCGUGGGGCUCAACCCCAUUCUGCCGUUGAUACUGGGUGGCUUGAUUGCGGUCGAGGUUGGCGGAAUUCGUUGUGUAGCGGGGAAAUGCAUAGAUAUGACGAAGAACACCGAUUGCGUAGGCAGCUGACCAGAUCGCAAAUGACGCUCAUGCACGAAAGUGCGGGGAUCGAACAGGAUUAGAUACCCUGGUAGUCCGCACAGUAAACGAUGAAUACUUGUUUUCGGCGAUAUAAUGUCGGAGGCAAAGCGAAAGCGAUAAGUAUUCCACCUGGGGAGUACGCCGGCAACGGUGAAACUCAAAGGAAUUGACGGGG
rnacentral:rRNA from 1 species